rnacentral:lncRNA from 1 species
CCCCUUGUUUAUGUCCCACAGUGAUGCCCAAGUUAUCUGCGAUAUGCUAUAUUCAUUGGUUAAUGUGAGUACUAGCUUUGGCUCAACUCUUGUAAGCCUGAAGUUAACAAUGCCAGGUGCAGAGCUUUCUUCCCUUUCCUGGAGGUUUGAAGGGGGAGGCUCACAGCCUGCAGGCAGCAUGGCCUGCAUUCUCUUACGAGAUGUAUCUCUUUGAGAUACGGCUCCUUGCCCUGCAGAAAAGUGCAGCAGUUAACUGGAGCAGCAAGGAGACCCGGAAUUCUGGGAGACCACCGGGCAAAACAGAGGCUGACCCAACCCAGUGGCUCCCGUACCACAACUGCCCCAUGGAUUUCAGUUCAAUUACAGGCUUCUCAACCUCCCUCUCUCAGUCCUCCUGUAAAUGGCCCACAC